GUCCGAAGGGGGUGAAGCAACCUGAGUCCAGGGUGUCAUCAUUCGGAUUGGAAGUGGUCUGUGUGGCGGGUUUCUUCCUGUAUUUAUUGAAGGACUUUCUUCUCGGAUAUGCACUUCUGAUCUGACACUUGUGCCCAUGCUCCAUUUCCACACCUCAGCUGCCAAUAACCACUCAAGAGGAAGAAGAUGAUUUUCACAGCCCGUUCAAUCCUGUCACCACAAAGAUCGUGCAAAAACCUCUCGAAGAUGUGUCUUCAAAUCUGCAUAUGGCUUUCUUUGGCGCUUACUUCAAUAGUUGACGCUGUGG